CUACAUCGACGUUUCGUUUUAUAAUAUAUUUUGAAUAUUAUUUUUAACCUCAAAUAUAUAUAUAUAAAUUUGAAUUUAUUUAAAAUUCUGAAUUUUAAAUAAUUUUAAUUUUAAAACGAAAUAUGAAAAUAAAAAACAUUUAUAAAAAAGCAUUUAAAAGUCAUAAUAUUUAAAUUCAUAAUACAAACCAAAAUAUUAAAAAAACUACAUAUCAUCGAAGUAGUCG
rnacentral:lncRNA from 1 species